AUGCUGCUGUACGUCGCCUUGGGGCUGCUCGUGCACCUCGUGUUCUUCGCCUCCAUCUUCGACAUUUAUUUCACCUCUCCUUUGGUUCAUGGAAUGACUCCUCGGUUUACGCCCCUGCCUCCCCCGGCAAAAAGACUGAUGCUGUUUGUUGCUGACGGCCUGCGAGCAGAUAAGCUUUAUGAAUUAGAUGAAGAUGGGAAUUCUAGGGCGCCAUUUCUUAGGAAUGUCAUAAUGAACGAAGGCAGCUGGGGGAUCUCUCACACGCAUGUGCCGACCGAGUCUCGGCCCGGGCACGUGGCCAUUAUUGCAGGGUUCUAUGAAGAUGUCAGCGCAGUUGCCAAAGGAUGGAAGGAAAAUCCUGUAGAAUUUGAUUCUCUUCUUAAUGAAACCAGGUACACAUGGUCCUGGGGAAGCCCAGACAUCCUGGCUAUGUUUGCCAAAGGUGACUCUGGAAACCAUAUUUUUACAGACAGUUAUGAUGCAUCCAGUGAGGAUUUUGGUGCCCACGAUGUAACAAAACUGGACACGUGGGUUUUUGAUCAUGUGAAGGAGUUCUUUCACGCUGCCAGAAACAACCAAUCUUUGCUUUCUAAACUAAACGGAGACAGAAUAGUCUUCUUCUUGCAUUUAUUAGGGAUAGACACAAAUGGACAUGCUCAUCGACCAACAUCAAGGGAAUAUUCAGACAAUAUUAAAUUAGUUGAUAAAGAAUUGAAAGAAAUUGAGGCUACUGUCAAAGACUUUUAUGGAAAUGACGGGAAAACAGCAUUUGUCUUCACCGCAGACCAUGGGAUGACCGACUGGGGCUCCCAUGGAGCCGGUCAUCCUUUAGAGACUUGUACUCCUUUUAUCGCUUGGGGAGCUGGAAUCAGGCUUCCCCAAAAAGUGUCAGCUCAGAACUUUGAUGACUCAUAUUUGCAAGAAUGGAAGUUGGAGAACUGGAAGAGACAAGAUAUUAAUCAGGCUGAUGUCGCACCGUUGAUGGCAGCUCUGAUUGGAGUUCCCUUCCCUCUUAACUCAGUGGGAAUCAUUCCUGUGGAUAUGCUUAAUACCUCUGAUCUCUUCAAAGCAGAGAGCAUGUUUACAAAUGCAGUACAGAUUCUUGAACAGUUCAAGGUAAAAAUGACUCAGAAAAAAGAAGCUACUUUGUCGUUUUUGUUUACACCAUUUAAGUCGCUAUCUGAUACUAAACAGGCCAACAUUUUAAGAAAAGCAAGAUACUAUAUAAAACAGAAGAAGUAUGAUGAAGCAGUCUCGCUCUGUCGGGAGCUGAUCGACCUCGCCCUGAGAGGCCUGGCCUACUACCACACCUACGACAGGCUCUUCCUGGCCUCCAACGUCGUCCUCGGCUUUGUGGGCUGGAUCUCUUACGCGUCUCUGUUGAUCAUCAAGUCUCACUGCAACCUUACGAGAGGCGUUAGCACAGAGGCCAAGAACCCAAGCCGUCUCCUGCCAUACACUUUUGUAGCCAUUGGCCUUUUCGUCGCGCUUCUACUGCUGAUUCAAGCCUGUCCCUGGACUUACUACGUCUACUGUUUGUUGCCGUUGCCAAUAUGGUACGCGGUUCUCAGAGAAAUCCCAGUUAUUCAAGGCUUUGUCACCGUACUGUUGGCCUUCCGUCCGUGGUGCUUCCUUGGAUACCUCUUGCUCUUUAUCCUGGGAGUUGAAGUAUUGGUGCUCAGCUUUUUCUACCGCUGCACGCUCACAGCGGGACUCGUCGCAUUCGCCGCUUGGCCGUUGAUCACGCCGCUGUGGACUCGAGCAAAGCGCACCUCGCUGAGUUGGAUUCUCUUCUGUUUCCUGCUGGCCGUGUUCCCGCUUUUGCCUGUCGUAGGACGAGAGCCAGACAUCUUCCUAGUAGUAGGUGCAGGCUUGCUGGUUCUUCUGCUAUCCCUGUUUGUUGUAACAUCUGUCAUAAAAAGAAACGAUAGUUUUAUAAAUGAAGAGCUGGUGUUACAUCUAUUACAGAUGCUGAGCAUCGUGCUUUCCGUGUGCGUUGUGUAUGGGACCCAUAAGAGUCUGCUCGAGAAACAGGGACUGCCGCUUCUCAAUCAGAUUGUUAGCUGGACAAUAUUAGCCUCCUCCUUCGUCACGCCUCUCCUGAGCCCUCCCGUCCUCUUCGAUCGACUGUUCAGCAUUCUUCUUGCCUCGAUGUCGACCUACCUACUUCUAAGUACUGGGUGCGAAGCUCUCUUUCCGUUAGUAUUGUCGUGUCUGAUGUUUGUCUGGAUACACCUGGAACAAGAAACCCUGCAGCAAUCUGCUGUUUCCUGUAAACAGAAGGUCUCCACCAUCCAGUUUGCCUGUAACACUGACAUGACCCAGUGUCGAGACCUCUACCUGGAUGACAUCCGCAGGGCCUUUUUCCUUGUUUUCUUCUUAGUGACAGCCUUUUUUGGAACUGGAAAUAUAGCUUCUGUUAACAGCUUUGACCCUUCCUCCGUCUACUGCUUCCUGACCGUGUUCAGUCCUUUCAAGAUGGGAGCCCUGAUAAUGUGGAAGAUUUUAAUCCCCUUUGUUCUUGUGAUGUGUGCUUUUGAAGCUGUUCAGUUAACUACUCAGUUAUCUUCGAAAAGCCUUUUCCUCAUGGUUAUCAACAUAUCAGACAUCAUGGCUUUGCAUUUUUUCUUCUUGAUCAAAGAUUAUGGCAGCUGGCUUGAUAUUGGAACAAGCAUCAGCCACUACGUGAUUGUCAUGUCCAUGACCAUCUUCAUGGUGUUUCUCAACUGCCUAGCUCAGAUGCUCACCACAAAGAAGCUCAGCCUGUGCGGCAGACCCAAAAGCCACGUCACAUAA
rnacentral:lncRNA from 1 species